rnacentral:rRNA from 2 species
UACCAGGCCAGGGUCUAGGUAUAAGCACUAUACUGUGAAACUGCGAAUGGCUCAUUAAAUCAGUUAUCGUUUAUUUGAUAGUACCUUACUACUUGGAUAACCGUGGUAAUUCUAGAGCUAAUACAUGCUAAAAACCUCGACUUCGGAAGGGGUGUAUUUAUUAGAUAAAAAACCAAUGCCCUUCGGGGCUCCUUGGUGAUUCAUAAUAACUUAUCGAAUCGCAUGGCCUUGUGCCGGCGAUGGUUCAUUCAAAUUUCUGCCCUAUCAACUUUCGAUGGUAGGAUAGUGGCCUACCAUGGUUUCAACGGGUAACGGGGAAUUAGGGUUCUAUUCCGGAGAGGGAGCCUGAGACACGGCUACCACAUCCAAGGAAGGCAGCAGGCGCGCAAAUUACCCAAUCCCGACGCGGGGAGGUAGUGACAAUAAAUACUGAUACAGGACUCUUUUGGGUCUUGUAAUUGGAAUGAGUACAAUUUAAAUCCCUUAACGAGGAACAAUUGGAGGGCAAGUCUGGUGCCAGCAGCCGCGGUAAUUCCAGCUCCAAUAGCGUAUAUUAAAGUUGUUGCAGUUAAAAAGCUCGUAGUUGAACCUUGGGCCUGGCUGGCCGGUCCGCCUCACCGCGUGCACUGGUCCGGCCGGGCCUUUCCUUCUGGGGAGCCGCAUGCCCUUCACUGGGUGUGUCGGGGAACCAGGACUUUUACUUUGAAAAAAUUAGAGUGUUCAAAGCAGGCCUAUGCUCGAAUACAUUAGCAUGGAAUAAUAGAAUAGGACGUGUGGUUCUAUUUUGUUGGUUUCUAGGACCGCCGUAAUGAUUAAUAGGGAUAGUCGGGGGCAUCAGUAUUCAAUUGUCAGAGGUGAAAUUCUUGGAUUUAUUGAAGACUAACUACUGCGAAAGCAUUUGCCAAGGAUGUUUUCAUUAAUCAGUGAACGAAAGUUAGGGGAUCGAAGACGAUCAGAUACCGUCGUAGUCUUAACCAUAAACUAUGCCGACUAGGGAUCGGGCGAUGUUAUUUUUUUGACUCGCUCGGCACCUUACGAGAAAUCAAAGUCUUUGGGUUCUGGGGGGAGUAUGUCGCAGCUGAAACUUAAAGAAAUUGACGAGGGCACCACAAUGGAGUGGAGCCUGCGCUUAUUUGACU